CGCGUAGGCGGCUUUUUAAGUCGGUUGUGAAAGCCCCGGGCUCAACCCGGGGAGGCCAGCCGAUACUGGGGGGCUUGAGGGCAGGAGAGGGAAGCGGAACUGCCGGUGUAGCGGUGGAAUGCGUAGAUAUCGGCAGGAACACCCGCGGCGAAGGCGGCUUCCUGGACUGCUCCUGACGCUGAGGCGCGAAAGCCAGGGGAGCGAACGGGAUUAGAUACCCCGGUAGUCCUGGCCCUAAACGAUGGUCACUAGGUGUCGCGGGUAUCGACCCCUGCGGUGCCGCAGCUAACGCAGUAAGUGACCCGCCUGGGGAGUACGGCCGCAAGGUUGAA
rnacentral:rRNA from 1 species